rnacentral:lncRNA from 1 species
CCUAAAAAGAAACAGAGAAAUCACUCACUUCACUUUUUUAUUUAACAGAUCAGAAAACUGAGGCUAGUGUGACUGUCAAAGAUUAUGGGAACAAGGUCGCUAAGAGUAAGAAGCUGGAGCCCGUCCAAUCCACUGGCACCAAAGCCAUGCACUUUGCAACUCUACUUCUCCAGGCUGUUCAUGAGAGGAGGAUGGAUGACAACAGGAUUCCAAAGAAAUUACUUUGUCCUGAGCUCAGAAGAGGACAAGGUAGACCUGAACAAGUGCCCAGCCUUUAAUUUCCCUGAAGAAGACCUUACCCAAGAGAGUUUCCUGCCAGUGGAAGGCACUCGGCAGAAAGGCUAGAGGUGGCGUGCGGACUGUUGCAGUAGGGCUGCAGGUU